rnacentral:lncRNA from 1 species
GCAAUGUUUGGAACCGUUUUGGAUCUUAUUUUGAUUUCAUUUUGAGGAAAUAUGUUUUGGGGGAAUAAUUUGAGAAUGAAAGUAAUGUUUGUUUGUAUUUUGGAAGGAGAUAAAAUACACUGUAGAAGUCAAAUCAUGUUUAAAGGUGUUAGAAAAAGAUAUUUUUGAAGAAGAAAAUUGAAAGGUGAAGUGAUGUUUAUUUGUUUUUUAGUGAAGACAUUUUUUACUGUAGCAAUCAAAUCAUUUUACUGUAGCAGUCACAUCAUGUCUGGAGGAGAGAGAAACUUUUGAAAUUGUUUUGAGAAAAUGAUUUGAAAAGUGUAAUAAAUCUCAUUUUGUUUUGGGGAAACAGUGAGAACAAAAUAAAAACGGUUCCAA